rnacentral:rRNA from 1 species
UACGAAGGGUGCAAGCGUUGCUCGGAAUUAUUGGGCGUAAAGCGCACGUAGGCGGCUUAGCAAGUCGGAAGUGAAAUCCCUCGGCUCAACCAAGGAAGUGCUUUCGAAACUGCUGAGCUUGAGUACUUAAGAGGAUCGCGGAAUUCCCGGUGUAGAGGUGAAAUUCGUAGAUAUCGGGAGGAACACCAGUGGCGAAGGCGGCGAUCUGGGAAGAUACUGACGCUGAGGUGCGAAAGCGUGGGGAGCAAACAGG